CUGCAGCUAAUGAAGCCGACCAGCUCCCCUAGGCCAUGGGCGCCUGGUGUGCAAUGGGUGCAAACAGCAUCCUCCUGGGUAGUGUGAGCACCUGUUCCUUGUGUGGGCUGCCCUGAGAGACCCUGGGGACAGUC
ensembl:snoRNA SNORA70 Small nucleolar RNA SNORA70